UACAGAGGGGGCUAGCGUUGUUCGGAAUUACUGGGCGUAAAGCGCACGUAGGCGGCUUUGUAAGUUAGAGGUGAAAGCCCGGGGCUUAACCCCGGAAUAGCCUUUAAGACUGCAUCGCUUGAACACGGGAGAGGUGAGUGGAAUUCCGAGUGUAGAGGUGAAAUUCGUAGAUAUUCGGAAGAACACCAGUGGCGAAGGCGGCUCACUGGACCGUUGUUGACGCUGAGGUGCGAAAGCGUGGGGAGCAAACAGG
rnacentral:rRNA from 1 species